CAACCCUUGCUCGAUCUCGUGAGAACAUUCCUUUCUGCAUGGCAGCGUGGCCUAAUGCAGCGUUCUGGGCGCCUGAUUCUUGUGAACUCUGUCAUUGCGGCGAGGCCGAUGCACCACCUGCUCAUCCUCGAAGCCCCGGCUUGGGUGCUGGAAGACACUAAUAGUUGGAUGCGGGUCUUCUUUUGGGCUGGCAAAGAUAAAGUCAAUGGUGGCCAAUGCUUGGUGGCAUGGAACUCUAUCUGCCGUCCCUUGAAGUUUGGUGGGUUGGGAGUCAAGGAUUUGCAUCGGCAAGGGCUGGCCCUUAGGGUUCGGUGGGAGUAGCUCCGACGCACAGAUCCGAACAUGCCAUGGCAAGGGCUCUCUCUC
rnacentral:rRNA from 1 species